rnacentral:rRNA from 1 species
CACGUAGGGGACGAGCGUUGUCCGGAUUCAUUGGGCGUAAAGCGCGCGUAGGCGGCUCGGAAAGUCGGGCGUGAAAUGCCGGGGCUCAACUGUGGGCGGGCAGCUGAUACGGGCAGGCUGGAGUUCGGUAGGGGAGACUGGAAUUCCUGGUGUAGCGGUGAAAUGCGCAGAUAUCAGGAGGAACACCGGUGGCGAAGGCGGGUCUCUGGGCCGAUACUGACGCUGAGGAGCGAAAGCGUGGGGAGCGAACAGG